rnacentral:rRNA from 1 species
GACGAACGCUGGCGGCGUGCUUAACACAUGCAAGUCGAACGAAGUGGCGAACGGGUGAGUAACGCGGAAUCAACCUGCCCUUCAGAGGGGGAAAACAGGUGGAAAGGACUGCUAAUAGCGCAUACGGAAGGAGGGGAUGGCGGCUGAUUAGUUGGUUGGAGGGGUAACGGCCCACCAAGGCGAUGAUCAGGAGCCGGUCUGAGCGGAUGAACGGCCACAUUGGGACUGAGACACGGCCCAGACUCCGACGGGAGGCAGCAGUGGGGAAUCUUCCGCAAUGGACGAAAGUCUGACGGAGCAACGCCGCGUGAGUGAUGACGGCCUUCGGGUUGUAAAGCUCUGUUAAUCGGGACGCAGUACCGGAAUAGAAAGCCACGGCUAACUACGUGCCAGCAGCCGCGGUAAUUC